GACGAACGCUGGCGGCGUGCUUAACACAUGCAAGUCGAACGGAAAGGCCCUGCUUUUGUGGGGUGCUCGAGUGGCGAACGGGUGAGUAACACGUGAGUAACCUGCCCUUGACUUUGGGAUAACUUCAGGAAACUGGGGCUAAUACCGGAUAGGAGCUCCUGCUGCAUGGUGGGGGUUGGAAAGUUUCGGCGGUUGGGGAUGGACUCGCGGCUUAUCAGCUUGUUGGUGGGGUAGUGGCUUACCAAGGCUUUGACGGGUAGCCGGCCUGAGAGGGUGGCCGGCCACAUUGGGCCUGAGAGACGGACCAGUAUCCUACGGGAGGCAGAAGUGGAGAAUAUUGCGCAGUGGGCGGAAGCCUGAGGCAGCAACGCCGCGUGCGGGAUGACGGCCUUCGGGUUGUAAACCGCUUUCGCCUGUGACGAAGCGGGAGUGACGGUAAUGGGUAAAGAAGCACCGGCUAACUACGUG
rnacentral:rRNA from 1 species